AGCUUCUCCUCUUGAUGCUUGCUAUGCCAA
rnacentral:piRNA from 1 species